CGAGGCGUAGUUCAGCCAGGAAAGCAUGAGACUCUUCAUCUCAGGGUUGUGGGUUCGAACCCUCCCCCCCUCGG